AACGAACGCUGGCGGCGUGCCUAACACAUGCAAGUCGAACGCGAAAGGGGGCAACCCCCGGUAGCGUGGCAGACGGGUGAGUAACACGUGGGUAACCUACCCGGAGGUGGGGGAUAACCCUUCGAAAGGAGGGCUAAUACCGCAUGACAUCGCGAGGACCUCGGUUCUUGCGAUCAAAGCUGGCCUCUGUUUACAAGCUAGCGCCACUGGAGGGGCCCGCGCCCCAUUAGCUAGUUGGUGAGGUAACGGCUCACCAAGGCAACGAUGGGUAGCCGGCCUGAGAGGGCGACCGGCCACACUGGAACUGCGACACGGUCCAGACUCCUACGGGAGGCAGCAGUGAGGAAUCUUGCGCAAUGGGCGAAAGCCUGACGCAGCGACGCCGCGUGGAGGAUGAAGGUCUUCGGAUUGUAAACUCCUGUCGAGUGGGACGAAUGCCAUGAGGGUGAACAAUCCUCGUGGUUGACGGUACCGCUGGAGGAAGCCCCGGCUAACUCCGUGCCAGCCGCCGCCGUAAGAC
rnacentral:rRNA from 1 species